rnacentral:rRNA from 1 species
UACGAAGGGGGCUAGCGUUGCUCGGAAUCACUGGGCGUAAAGCGCACGUAGGCGGCUUUUUAAGUCAGGGGUGAAAUCCUGGAGCUCAACUCCAGAACUGCCUUUGAUACUGGGAAGCUCGAGUCCGGGAGAGGUGAGUGGAACUCCGAGUGUAGAGGUGAAAUUCGUAGAUAUUCGGAAGAACACCAGUGGCGAAGACGGCUCACUGGCCCGGUACUGACGCUGAGGUGCGAAAGCGUGGGGAGCAAACAGG